UCACACUCGCACUCACAUUUGACGCGUUUCUGUUGCUUUUCGCUUCGUUCUUGCGCUCGACGCCACUUCGUGCGCCGACCGCGCUGUCACGGCUUCAGAGCCUCGGCCUCGGUCUCGGCCUCGGCCUCGGCAACCACUGACUGACUCUUGUGUCAAACUGAACAGCAAAUAUUAUUUUUUGGACACUUUGCUAUCAGGUCGACGCCGCGUCAACCAGAGACGUCCUGUGCUCCAUUCACCAUUCACCAUUCACCAACCACAGCUAUUGAUAUCGACACCGCCAACCGUGCCAGAGCCCAUCGAGCUCUCGACUUGUCCAAUUGUUCCCCAUUCAAGUGUCGCAUUCGAAGUCGGACAGCUGCCGGGGUCUCCAUUUUCGCCGAAGUGUGAACUAUUGAAAUCCGCAAACAAAAGUGAAGUUCAACAAAAUCUGUAAAUCAACUCGAGCCGGUUCGUGUGUUGCCAAAAAUUAACCGAAAUUAAUUAUAAUAUUGACAUACAACAUGAAGAACGAGGGGGCUGCUCCUCCCAAGCAACACAAGCGCCUUUCGACCAACUGUGAAUAAUACUCGUAUGGAUUACAAUCUCGCGUGUGAUGGGCAAGGCAAAAACAACAAAAAAAAAGAAAAAAAAAAGCUAACGUUAACAACACUUCAGGGCCGGUUCUGUGCUUUGUGCUUCGUACUUGUGUAUUUUCUGCUUUGAGGUUUGGUCUGCGGUCGCUGCUCUUUGGGCGGAGGACCGGGAACCCAUCCAUCCAUGCUUCUCUCGUCUCGACUUGUCGACUUGCCGACUUUCGUGUCGGUCCAAUGGGCCCGUCCAGCUCCUCGCGUUCGCCGGGUUUUCUCAGAUUCGCUGGGCGUGGAUUCAAUUAAAAUGAUUUGUUGCCGCCGUUCCUGACAUUUUGGACAUAAAUAGUGGACCUGAUUCAUGGUACAAUGUUUUCGUGUAAACAAAACCAAUGCAAAACUUUGGCAGCACUACUGGACUGAUGCCCCCCUUCGGCAGACUGCUACAAAAUGCCGUCGGAAGAGACCAAUGGCAAAGUGCGAAACGGUUCCGCGCUUAAAAUGAGAGCAGAGGUGACAGUAAAUGAGAGCGCCGACGCAACAAAUGGAACAGAGAGAGAGAGAGAGAGAGUGAGCGCGUUGUCAUGACAACGGUUUCGGCGGCAGCCAUCUUGGAUAUGAGAGAGAGAGAGCCGCCAUGCAGCGGCCAUGCUGUUGGCCAGCGACACUCACACGCUGCGGCGGCUAUUGUGAAGUUCUGUGACGUGACUGAAAUAUCGCAGCAGGUAAAACCGUUGCUUCUCGUUUGCCUGUGCAGCGAUUUUGCUGCCGCAGUGCCGCAGUAACGAUGUUCGCGGCGACCGCUUAACGAAUGCGCGUGCGUUGCGCCCGGACCGCGACCUCGUCGGUUGGAAGCUGCGACCGCGGCAGCGACAGCGACAGCGGCAUCGGCAGCGAAGCGACUAAGCAAGGUGGAUUAUUUUUUACAGGGACCCCCCGAAGAGACGAGACGUUACACGACAUAUGUUGCAGUAUACACCUGGGAUAUGUCUUAACCGAUCAGUGUCGACUGGAAUGUGACAAA
rnacentral:sRNA from 1 species